UCAAUUUUAAAAUACUUGAAAAGAAAAGCAAACAGGCAAAAUGUUGCCCCUUUUGACCUGAGUAAUAUAACACAAAAUUUGAAAAUGCCAUAGUUUUAGGGGCGAAAACGUGAGAAGAGAAGCCCUAGGGAUGUGACCACCACCACCACCACCCACAAGGUAUUUUCCUCUCCGGACAUUUAUCAUGUGGGACAUACCGCCCGUUUGAUUAACACCUCUUGGAAAGUCAAGGCAAACUAGUUGUUGCUCCUGUUCCGCCAUUGUUGUUUGCGCAUUUCAUUUCGGUGGCAUUUUGCAUGCCUCGUUGAAUUUGGAAAAAAUAACAUAUAUGCACAGAGAAGAAUAUACACAUAUAGCCAUAUAUGGUAUUCCAUGACUGCCUGAUGUGUGCGAUUUUUGCGUGUAAGCGCUGACUAAGCUCAUGCAAGUUGGUUUUCUGCGCGGAGUGCAAGUGGGCCAUGUGAGGACUUAAAAGUGGGGGUAUUGCACCCAUGUUCAGCGGCACCGUCUGGUGUGGAAAAAUUGUUAAACCUAAAAGGGUUAUAAAGAAACGAGAAAAGCACAGACAGAGAUAUGCAACUUGAUGUCCACACAAUGAGCUGUUUUAUGUCAAUCGGGGAGAUAUAAAGUACUUCGUUUUUACUUUAAGGAUUCCUUUUUAUACCUCUUAGUAUAUAAAAUAAUAUUUUUAUGAACUGUUAAACAUACGAAGCAUAAACAACGUGAAAAACCUAGAGAAGCCAGUUGUACUUCCAAUAUUAAAAUAAAUUUAUGUCUCCACAACA